rnacentral:rRNA from 1 species
GGAGGGGGCUAGCGUUGUUCGGAUUUACUGGGCGUAAAGGGCGCGUAGGCGGUAUGCCAUGUCAGGGGUGAAAGGCCUGGGCUCAACCCAGGAACUGCCUUUGAAACUGGCAAACUAGAGUCCGAUAGAGGAUGGCGGAAUUCCCAGUGUAGAGGUGAAAUUCGUAGAUAUUGGGAAGAACACCAGUGGCGAAGGCGGCCAUCUGGAUCGGCACUGACGCUGAGGCGCGAAAGCGUGGGGAGCAAACAGGGAUUAGAUACCCUGGUAGUCCACGCCGUAAACGAUGUGUGCUAGACGUUGGGGGGCCUUAGGCCCCUGGGUGUCGCAGCUAACGCAUUAAGCACACCGCCUGGGGAUACGGCCGCAAGGUUA